rfam:Mesocricetus auratus contig191461, whole genome shotgun sequence.
CCAAAGGCUCUUUUCAGAGCCACUCAUGUAGUCUAGAAAGAAGCUG